CCUACGGGAGGCUGCAGUGGGGGAUAUUGCACAAUGGGGGGAACCCUGAUGCAGCGACGCCGCGUGGGUGAAGGAGCGUUUCGGCGCGUAAAGCCCUAUCGGCAGGGACGAAGAUGACGGUACCUGACCAAGAAGCCCCGGCUAAAUACGUGCCAGCAGCCGCGGUAAUACGUAGGGGGAAAGAGUGAUCCGGAUUGACUGGAUGUGAAGGGGGGGCAGACGGCAAGGCAAGCCAGGAGUUAAAGCCCCGGGCACAACCCCGGGACUGCCCGUGGAACUGCAUGGCUGGAGUACAGGAGGGGCAGGCGGAAUUCCUAGUGUAGCGGUGAAAUGCGUAGAUAUGAGGAGGAACACUGGUGGCGAAGGCGGCCUGCUGGACUGUGACUGACGUUGAGGCCCGAAGGCGUGGGGAGCAAACAGGAUUAGAUACCCCGGUAGUC
rnacentral:rRNA from 1 species